AUACGUAGGGAGCGAGCGUUGUCCGGAAUUACUGGGUGUAAAGGGAGCGUAGGCGGGUGUGAAAGUCAGAUGUGAAAUACAUGGGCUCAACCGAAGGGGUGCAUUUGAAACUGAAGUUCUUGAGUGAAGUAGAGGAAAGUGGAAUUCCUGGUGUAGAGGUGAAAUGCGUAGAUAUCAGGAGGAACACCGGUGGCGAAGGCGGCUUACUGGGCGUUUACUGACGCUGAGGCUCGAAAGCGUGGGGAGCAAACAGGAUUAGAUACCCUGGUAGUCCACGCUGUAAACGAUGAUUACUAGGUGUGGGGGGACUGACCCCUUCCGUGCCGCAGUUAACACAAUAAGUAAUCCACCUGGGGAGUACGGCCGCAAGGUUGAAACUCAAAUGAAUUGACGGGG
rnacentral:rRNA from 1 species